GAACUCAAACAAUCUUGGAAUUCGCAGAAUUCUACAAAGCACCCAUCAAACUGCCAUAAACCCAUUUUCAUUAUUAACAAGUGAAGGCAAAUUUUUCCGGACCAAAAAUCUCAACUCUCUUAUCCUGAGAGGUGUGCAGGGGAUGGUGGCCUACUAUGUCUAAAGAUCCCAGGGAUGGCGAUUGUCGAAAAGGAGCCAGUGAGGACGUGAAGAGUCUAAUACUCUUCAUCCGCAAUUCUGAAAUUCGAGAAGCUCCUCUAAUCAUUGUUACAUAACUCGCUGGGUGUCAAGGUUUGGCCUGACCUGAAUGACAGAAGGCUAUUAAUAGACUUUAUCUCAUUCCCUGGCUAGCCUUUGGCUGAAGAAACAGUAUGACAGUUGCCCAGUACUGAGAAAGACCCUUCUAGGGAUGAGGACAGUCAUUUAUCGGCAAGGCUAGAGGCAAGAAGAGUCCAGAUUGAAUUACACUGAAGGGAAGACUCAGAGGUUUGGAAUCCUCACCCACUGGACUGGCCCUGCAUGCGCCUCCUACAUCUCGGGCCUACAGAUAGAUACUCUAGCUUCACCAGAACUGAUGAGAGAGCUGGGUGUGGUGCUGGCUGCUAUCAUCCAGGAUGUAAAUUCAAGGCCAGGACUUGCGGGAAUGGAGGUUCCAGACUCCGAGUGACUCCUUUAUGAGCUGGUAGGAGAAGCAGGAGUAGGCAGUGAUCUUGUGACUCUGAGGGAUGGAACCAAGACCUUCAAGCUUCUGUGAGGCCUAGCCCUGUGUCGGUUUUUUCCUUAGUCUUCUGGGUUAUUCUGCCCUCUAUUUGACCCCCAUUGUUCUGGUUUGCCUCCCAGAGAUCACAUGUUUUUACUGCCUUA